rnacentral:rRNA from 1 species
GUGUCAGCAGCCGCGGUAAUACAGAGGUGGCAAGCGUUGUUCGGAAUUACUGGGCGUAAAGGGCGCGUAGGCGGUCGGGAAAGUCUUGUGUGAAAUCCCUCGGCUCAACUGAGGAACUGCACGGGAAACUGCCUGACUUGAGUUCGGGAGAGGGAAGCGGAAUUCCGGGUGUAGCGGUGAAAUGCGUAGAUAUCCGGAGGAACACCGGUGGCGAAGGCGGCUUCCUGGACCGACACUGACGCUGAGGCGCGAAAGCUAGGGGAGCAAACGGGAUUAGAAACCCUUGUAGUCC